rnacentral:lncRNA from 1 species
UCCAUUGUUUCAAGACCAUAGGUCUGUUAGCAAUGGAAUGUGGACCAGCACAUAUGACCUCUUUAGCAUCUUCCAUGGCUUGAAAUUUAGCUACAUAAUAACCCUCCUCAUGGUAGUAUAGAUCUGGCUCUGGAAAAUGAGACCAGUGUAGACUAAUGAAACGUUUCAUAGCAUUGUAACCUGGUCCAGUCCCCAACACAAAAAUCAC